rnacentral:rRNA from 1 species
UUUUAAUGAGAGUUUGAUCCUGGCUCAGGACGAACGCUGGCGGCGUGCCUAAUACAUGCAAGUAGAACGCUGAAGGAGGAGCUUGCUUCUCUGGAUGAGUUGCGAACGGGUGAGUAACGCGUAGGUAACCUGCCUGGUAGCGGGGGAUAACUAUUGGAAACGAUAGCUAAUACCGCAUAAGAGUAGAUGUUGCAUGACAUUUGCUUAAAAGGUGCACUUGCAUCACUAC